rnacentral:rRNA from 1 species
UGAGGAAUAUUGGUCAAUGGGCGAGAGCCUGAACCAGCCAAGUAGCGUGCAGGAUGACGGCCCUAUGGGUUGUAAACUGCUUUUAUGUGGGGAUAAAGUGCGUGACGCGUCAUGCAUUGCAGGUACCACAUGAAUAAGGACCGGCUAAUUCCGUGCCAGCAGCCGCGGUAAUACGGAAGGUCCGGGCGUUAUCCGGAUUUAUUGGGUUUAAAGGGAGCGUAGGCUGUCUAUUAAGCGUGUUGUGAAAUAUACCGGCUCAACCGGUGGCUUGCAGCGCGAACUGGUCGACUUGAGUAUGCAGGAAGUAGGCGGAAUUCAUGGUGUAGCGGUGAAAUGCUUAGAUAUCAUGACGAACUCCGAUUGCGCAGGCAGCUUACUGUAGCAUAACUGACGCUGAUGCUCGAAAGUGCGGGUAUCAAACAGG